rnacentral:lncRNA from 1 species
UCUUUGUUUCUCUUUUCAUCUUCGGAUUCCUAUCUAAUGAUCCAGGACGUAAUCCUGGACGUGAAGAAUAAGAAAAUAUUUUUUGUUUUGCUUACUUGUGCUGGAUUUUGAAAUUUUUUUUUUUUUUUUAUCUAUUUUACAUCUUUAACUAGUAAAAAAAAUUAAACAAAGAGGAAAAAAAAAAAAGAAACUCCAUAAUUUCAAAAGAAAAAAAUACCAAAUCAUCAAUAAACGGAAAGAGAGGGAUUCGAACCCUCGGUACAAAAAUUCAUACAACGGAUUAGCAAUCCGCCGCU